rnacentral:lncRNA from 1 species
AUUUGAAAACAAAGCAAAAAUAAAAAUAAAAUUGGUCCAAGACCACCAAAAAUUCAAGAAAACUCAGGGGAAUAUGAAAAUAUUUUUUGGGAUUUUUAGGGUUCAUAAAUGGGGCAGAAAUAAUUAAAUUCACAAGCUAUCUAAAAGAAAUAACAAAAUAAACAUAUUUUAGAAAUUAAAAUACAAAAAAUAGCAAACUAAAUGGAAAAAUAAAAUAAAAAUCAGAAAUAUAUAAUAGAAACAAAUAUCUUUUAGCACAUAUUUUUUUUUGGUAUUUUUUUAUAAUUAAAAAUAUUUUUAAUAAAAUAAACAAAUAAAAGAAAGUAAAAGAAAAUGAAAUAACUAAAAAACAAAGUUUGGUCAAAUGAUUUCGGAAUGAUAAUCUGAUCCAGCUACAUGGACCAAUAAGAACAUUUCCCAAUUAUUGGAUGCAAGAAGGUAAAAAUAAGGCGAGCGAAUCACAAUGCACCAUGUGGCCAUACAAAAAAAAAAUUCAA